rnacentral:rRNA from 1 species
UAUUCCCUACGGGGGGCAGCAGUGGGGAAUAUUGCACAAUGGGGGAAACCCUGAUGCAGCGACGCCGCGUGAGCGAUGAAGUAUUUCGGUAUGUAAAGCUCUAUCAGCAGGGAAGAAAAUGACGGUACCUGACUAAGAAGCCCCGGCUAACUACGUGCCAGCAGCCGCGGUAAUACGUAGGGGGCAAGCGUUAUCCGGAUUUACUGGGUGUAAAGGGAGCGUAGACGGUCCUGCAAGCCAGAUGUGAAAGCCCGGGGCUCAACCCCGGGACUGCAUUGGGAACUGCAAGGCUA